rnacentral:lncRNA from 1 species
GAUGAGAGAGGACAAGCUCAGAUGACAAAGUUAAUAGCAACCUCAAUCCUGGAGUUCAGCUCUGAGUUUAAACUUCCUCUUCUGCAAAAUGCUCAAAUAAGCAGCUGGACUGACCGGAGGAGAAGCUGUGAGCAAUGGAAUCGGCAAAGCCAAACCCCAGGCCCAAAAGAGACACCACAUCUGCCAGAAACCAACGUACUCUUAGCCUGAAGUUAUUUGUUCCCCCUACUCUCUUUUUCCUUCUCUCUCCAUAUGGAUUUUAUAAACAAGAUAAAAUCAGAACUCGAAAACUAAAUAGACUCUGUGAGUCCUCUGUUAACAGCCAGGGCAGCCCAGCACUGUUUUUGCAGAUGUUUUGCAGGUCUGUGUCUGCAAGAGGCCAGAGGCAGGAGGUGAGGGCAGGUCAGCAAGUGCUGGAAGGUAGGGGAGAUCAGUUAUUGGAAGGCCAUGGAAGGUGGAAGAUCCUCUGAACAAACACGGCAAGA